GAUGAAGAACGCAGCAAAAUGCGAUAAGUAAUGUGAAUUGCAGAAUUCAGUGAAUCAUCGAAUCUUUGAACGCACAUUGCGCCCGCUGGUAUUCCGGCGGGCAUGCCUGUUCGAGCGUCAUUUCAACCCUCAAGCCCCCGGGUUUGGUGUUGGGGAUCGGCUCUGCCCUUCUGGGCGGUGCCGCCCCCGAAAUACAUUGGCGGUCUCGCUGCAGCCUCCAUUGCGUAGUAGCUAACACCUCGCAACUGGAACGCGGCGCGGCCAUGCCGUAAAACCCCAACUUCUGAAUGUUGACCUCGGAUCAGGUAGGAAUACCCGCUGAACUUAAGCAUAUCAAUAGGAGGA
rnacentral:misc_RNA from 1 species